CCACACGCGUGAUCGGACUUGGACACUAGCAGGUGGGGCCCUCAUGUUGGCCCUUUCUUCUCCACCACAACGGCCGCGCGGACACCGCAUGGCCAGGCGUUCCGGUCUUGUUAGGAUCCUCCGUGAUCCUCGCCAAUCUUUGUCCCGGGAUAUAAAAGCAAACCAUCCACAACCUAGAGAACAACUGGUGGGGGAGAGCUCAAGCCUGGGUCACCGGGGGAUUGGGAAAGAACACCGUCAGGGUGGAACUACGAGCAGGGAGCGACUGCCACCACAAACCCAUGCCUUCGUUGUCUGUUGAGCGCGUCAUCCGUGGUCCUCAAGACAAAAACACCUUCGGCAAGAUAAUACAGAGAUAUAUGUGACAUGAUGAUACAAAAGGAAGCCAAAACUAUGACUGAAGAAGCUUCGGCUUAGUAUUAUGACAAAGCCAAAGGUCGUCACCGACUCAAGGGAAAAAGGUUGUUUAAUCCUUGAUCACUCACAUUGUAAGUACAUGUAAAUGAUAGGGACAUAAAUGUAAUUGUGUCUGGGCUGCGUUCCGCGCCUAUAAAUAGAUGAACAGUACCCCAGUACUGUUCACGCUGGAUUGUAAUCUCCCUCGUGUCAUCUUUGCAUUAACACCUUCUGGCGAACCGAAGGUAUUAUUGUAUUAUAAAUAUUAUUAAUGUUAAUUCUUAUUUAUGGAUAUAAAUAAAAACAAACAGUGAGGGUUUAA